GCAUAGAUAGCUCAGUGGCAGAGUGGCGGUUUGUUGGCCCCUGCGGCCCGGGUUCGAGCCCCGGUCGAUGCA